CCAUAGCCCUGGUAGCAGCGGCAUGCUUUUGUUAUCUUGUUUAGGUCGCAAAAGAUAGAGCGAAUGACAGGAAAUAAC
rnacentral:sRNA from 1 species